rnacentral:rRNA from 1 species
AGAGUUUGAUCAUGGCUCAGAACGAACGCUGGCGGCAGGCCUAACACAUGCAAGUCGAACGCCGUAGCAAUACGGAGUGGCAGACGGGUGAGUAACGCGUGGGAACAUACCCCUCGGUUCGGAAUAAGUCAGGGAAACUUGAGCUAAUACCGGAUACGUCCGAGGUUUUAAUCGACCUCGGAGAAAGAUUUAUCGCCGGAGGAUUGGCCCGCGUCUGAUUAGCUUGUUGGUGAGGUAAUGGCUCACCAAGGCGACGAUCAGUAGCUGGUCUGAGAGGAUGAUCAGCCACAUUGGGACUGAGACACGGCCCAAACUCCUACGGGAGGCAGCAGUGGGGAAUAUUGGACAAUGGGCGAAAGCCUGAUCCAGCCAUGCCGCGUGAGUGAUGAAGGCCUUAGGGUUGUAAAGCUCUUUUACCCGGGAAGAUAAUGACGGUACCGGGAGAAUAAGCCCCGGCUAACUUCGUGCCAGCAGCCGCGGUAAUACGAAGGGGGCUAGCGUUGUUCGGAAUUACUGGGCGUAAAGCGCACGUAGGCGGAUCCUUAAGUCAGGGGUGAAAUCCCGAGGCUCAACCUCGGAACUGCCUUUGAUACUGGGGAUAUCGAGUCCGGGAGAGGUGAGUGGAACUGCGAGUGUAGAGGUGAAAUUCGUAGAUAUUCGCAAGAACACCAGUGGCGAAGGCGGCUCACUGGCCCGGUACUGACGCUGAGGUGCGAAAGCGUGGGGAGCAAACAGGAUUAGAUACCCUGGUAGUCCACGCCGUAAACGAUGGAUGCUAGCCGUUAGACAGCUUGCUGUUUAGUGGCGCAGUUAACGCGUUAAGCAUCCCGCCUGGGGAGUACGGUCGCAAGAUUAAAACUUAAAGGAAUUGACGG